rnacentral:rRNA from 1 species
ACGUAGGGCGCAAGCGUUAUCCGGAUUUAUUGGGCGUAAAGGGCUCGUAGGCGGCUCGUCGCGUCCGGUGUGAAAGUCCAUCGCUUAACGGUGGAUCUGCGCCGGGUACGGGCGGGCUGGAGUGCGGUAGGGGAGACUGGAAUUCCCGGUGUAACGGUGGAAUGUGUAGAUAUCGGGAAGAACACCGAUGGCGAAGGCAGGUCUCUGGGCCGUCACUGACGCUGAGGAGCGAAAGCGUGGGGAGCGAACAG